GACGUAGGGCGCAAGCGUUGUCCGGAUUUAUUGGGUCGUAAGAGCUCGUUAGGCGGCUGCCAACGUCGUGCCGUGAAAAACCCAGCAGCUUAACCUUGUUAGGCUUGGCGGUUGAUACGGGGUUGGCUGGAGUUCGGUAGGGGAGACUGGAAUUCCUGGUGUAGCGGUGGAAAUGCGCAGAUAUCAGGAGGAACACCGGUGGCGAAGGCGGGUCUCUGGGCAGUAACUGACGCUGAGGAGCGAAAGCGUGGGAGCGAACAGG
rnacentral:rRNA from 1 species